rnacentral:rRNA from 1 species
GAUGAACGCUGGCGGCGUGCCUAAUACAUGCAAGUCGAACGAAACUUCUUUAUCACCGAGUGCUUGCACUCACCGAUAAAGAGUUGAGUGGCGAACGGGUGAGUAACACGUGGGCAACCUGCCCAAAAGAGGGGGAUAACACUUGGAAACAGGUGCUAAUACCGCAUAACCAUAGUUACCGCAUGGUAACUAUGUAAAAGGUGGCUAUACUACCGCUUUUGGAUGGGCCCGCGGCGCAUUAGCUAGUUGGUAGGGUAAAGGCUUACCAAGGCAAUGAUGCGUAGCCGAAUUGAGAGGUUGAUCGGCCACAUUGGGACUGAGGCACGGCCCAAACUCCUACGGGAGGCAGCAGUAGGGAAUCUUCCACAAUGGGCGAAAGCCUGAUGGAGCAACGCCGCGUGGGUGAAGAAGGUCUUCGGAUCGUAAAACCCUGUUGUUAGAGAAGAAAGUGCGUGAGAGUAACUGUUCACGUUUCGACGGUAUCUAACCAGAAAGCCACUGCUAACUACGUG